UGGUCUGCCUUGAGGCAUACGGCUUUAACCAAAAACUCUCAAAGUUUGACGUCAAAUCAGGUAGGAGUACCCGCUGAACUUAAGCAUAUCAAUAAGCCGGAGGAAAAGAAACCAACCGGGAUUGCCUUAGUAACGGCGAGUGAAGCGGCAAAAGCUCAAAUUUGAAAUCUGGCGUCUUCGACGUCCGAGUUGUAAUUUGAAGAAGGCGACUUUGUAGCUGGUCCUUGUCUAUGUUCCUUGGAACAGGACGUCAUAGAGGGUGAGAAUCCCGUGUGGCGAGGAUCCCAGUUAUUUGUAAAGUGCUUUCGACGAGUCGAGUUGUUUGGGAAUGCAGCUCUAAGUGGGUGGUAAAUUCCAUCUAAAGCUAAAUAUUGGCGAGAGACCGAUAGCGAACAAGUACAGUGAUGGAAAGAUGAAAAGAACUUUGAAAAGAGAGUGAAAAAGUACGUGAAAUUGUUGAAAGGGAAGGGCAUUUGAUCAGACAUGGCGUUUGCUUCGGCUUUCGCUGGGCCAGCAUCAGUUUUAGCGGUUGGAUAAAUCCUCGGGAAUGUGGCUCUGCUUCGGUAGAGUGUUAUAGCCCGUGGGAAUACAGCCAGCUGGGACUGAGGAUUGCGACUUUUGUCAAGGAUGCUGGCGUAAUGGUUAAAUGCCGCCCGUCUUGAAACACGGACCAAGGAGUCUAACGUCUAUG
rnacentral:rRNA from 1 species